rnacentral:rRNA from 1 species
AUGGCAGCUGCAGCAGCGGGUGAGAGCACCAGGUUAAUUGGGGUGAGGAAGAAGGGGGAGGACAAGUUCGGUGCGGCGAUCAUGCACCCGGUGACGAAGACGUUCCUGUGGCUAGGGACGUACUCGUUGCCCGAGGUCGCUGCGUGCGCCUAUGACCUCGCAGCUAGGGAGCUGAAGGGCGCAAAGGCAAAGCUCAACUUCCCUUACCCUCCGCCGGCCAGACUGGUUAAGGAGGUGAUUGCUGCACCGAGGCACCGCAGCCACGGUCAUGAAGCACCGCUCUUUCAGGUCGUUACAUUGCCACCAGACCCCACAUCACCGCCUCCACCACCACCUAAGCUCGUGGUUUACUUUCCCUUCCCCAUCGAAGUACCCGCCAGCAACCCCCCGCCAGUGCCGGCAUACCCGUUCCUGCACAUGCCGCGUCCGGCACGAGCACGGCUCAGCCCGCAACCAGCGCACGCGCCCGCUCCAAAGACACAGCCGCCGAUCCAACGGAUGAACGUCAUGGUGCAGGCGGAAAGCUGCUUAAGCUCCUCAAGGGAAUCCCUAGGGGCUUCUUCGUCGCGCCGCUUGGUGUUCAAGAAACCCAAGCUGGUCGUAGUUCCCCUUACCCUUAGUGCUCCUACAGAAGGAACAGGUGACAAUUUCACCAAGCCGUGGUAUUGCCCUGAUUCUCCUGUUGUUUAG